GCCCGGCUAGCUCAGUCGGUAGAGCACGAGGCUCUUAAUCUCGGGGUCGUGGGUUUGGGGUGUGCGAUAGACUUACCUCCACGUGGUUCCCCUCUGGGCA
rnacentral:tRNA from 1 species